CCUACGGGAGGCAGCAGUGAGGAAUAUUGGUCAAUGGGCGGUAGCCUGAACCAGCCAAGUAGCGUGCGGGAUGAAGGCCCUAUGGGUCGUAAACCGCUUUUGUACGGGGAUAAAACGCUCUAUUUAUAGUGCUUUGCAUGUACCGUACGAAUAAGGGCCGGCUAAAUCCGUGCCAGCAGCCGCGGUAAUACGGAGGGCCCGAGCGUUAUCCGGAUUUAUUGGGGUUAAAGGGAGCGUAGGCGGGUCGUUAAGUCAGUUGUAAAAGUGUGCGGCUCAACCGCGGACUGGCAGUUGAUACUGGAAUCCUUGAGUACAGAAGAGGUAGGCGGAAUUCGUGGUGUAGCGGUGAAAUGCAUAGAUAUCACGAAGAACUCCGAUUGCGAAGGCAGCCUGCUGGAGUGCAACUGACGCUGAUGCUCGAAGGUGCGGGUAUCAAACAGGAUUAGAUACCCGAGUAGUC
rnacentral:rRNA from 1 species